rnacentral:rRNA from 1 species
GACGAACGCUGGCGGCGUGCCUAACACAUGCAAGUCGAGCGAUGAAGUUUCCUUCGGGAAAUGGAUUAGCGGCGGACGGGUGAGUAACACGUGGGUAACCUUCCCCCUAGAGGGGAAUAGCCCUCCGAAAGGGAGAUUAAUACCGCAUAAUACUACAGUUUCGCACGGAACAGCAAUUAAAGGAGCAACCGGCUAUGAGGUGGACCCGCGGAGCAUUAGCUAGUUGGUGAGGUAACGGCGCAACAAGGCGUCGAGGCGUAGCCGACCCGAGAGGGUGAUCGGCCACAUUGGGACUGAGACACGGCCCAGACUCCUACGGGAGGCAGCAGUGGGGAAUAUUGCACAAUGGGGGAAACCCUGAUGCAGCAACGCCGCGUGAGUGAUGACGGUCUUCGGAUUGUAAAGCUCUGUCUUUGGGGACGAUAAUGACGGUACCCAAGGAGGAAGCCACGGCUAACUACGUGCCAGCAGCCGCGGUAACAC